rnacentral:other from 1 species
UUCCCUGGAGCGUGCGUGAUCCCUUUAUUGGUGCUGACCUCACAAGCAUGAUAAAAGGGGGCCGAGCGGUGGACUGGUGUGCAUGCCCGACCUGUCGGGAAGUCUGAAGGUCCGCCCAAGGUUCCCACCUGGGUAACCAGGUUUUGCACCGGUAUCUGGACACGGCGCUCCGGGGU